UACGGAGGGUGCAAGCGUUAUCCGGAUUCACUGGGUUUAAAGGGUGCGUAGGCGGGCAGGUAAGUCCGUGGUGAAUCUCCAAGCUUAACUUGGAAACUGCCGUGGAUACUAUUUGUCUUGAAUAUAGUGGAGGUGAGCGGAAUAUGUCAUGUAGCGGUGAAAUGCUUAGAUAUGACAUAGAACACCCAUUGCGAAGGCAGCUCGCUACACUAUUAUUGACGCUGAGGCACGAAAGCGUGGGGAUCAAACAGG
rnacentral:rRNA from 1 species